UACGGAGGGUGCAAGCGUUGUCCGGAUUCAUUGGGUUUAAAGGGUGCGUAGGCGGCUUAUUAAGUCAGUGGUGAAAGCCGGCGGCCCAACUGUCGAACUGCCAUUGAUACUGAUAAGCUUGAGUAUAGUCGAGGUAGGCCGAAUUUAUGGUGUAGCGGUGAAAUGCAUAGAUACCAUAAAGAACACCGAUAGAGAAGACAGUUUACCAGGCUACAACUGACGCUGAGGCAGGAAAGCAUGGGGAUCGAACAGG
rnacentral:rRNA from 1 species